UACAGAGGUCUCAAGCGUUGUUCGGAUUCAUUGGGCGUAAAGGGUGUGUAGGUGGCGCGCUAAGUCGGGUGUGAAAUUUCGGAGCUUAACUCCGAAACUGCAUUCGAUACUGCCGUGCUUGAGGACUGGAGAGGAGACUGGAAUUUACGGUGUAGCGGUGAAAUGCGUAGAUAUCGUAAGGAAGACCAGUGGCGAAGGCGGGUCUCGUGGACAGUU
rnacentral:rRNA from 1 species